ACGGGAGGCAGCAGUGGGGAAUAUUGGGCAAUGGGGGAAACCCUGAUCCAGCGACGCCGCGUGAGUGAAGAAGUAUUUCGGUAUGUAAAGCUCUUUAAGCAGGAAAGAAAAUGACGGUACCUGCAGAAUAAGCCCCGGCUAACUACGUGCCAGCAGCCGCGGUAAUACGUAGGGGGCAAGCGUUAUCCGGAUUUACUGGGUGUAAAGGGAGCGUAGACGGCGAUGCAAGUCUGAUGUGAAAUGCGGGGGCUCAACUCCUGAACUGCAUUGGAAACUGUAUUGCUGGAGUGCCGGAGAGGUAAGCGGAAUUCCUAGUGUAGCGGUGAAAUGCGUAGAUAUUAGGAGGAACACCAGUGGCGAAGGCGGCUUACUGGACGGUAACUGACGUUGAGGCUCGAAAGCGUGGGGAGCAAACAGGAUUAGAUACCCUGGUA
rnacentral:rRNA from 1 species